rnacentral:rRNA from 1 species
CACGUAGUUAGCCGUGACUUUCUGGUUAGAUACCGUCAAGGCGCUAGUAGUUACCUAGCACGUGUUCUUCUCUAACAACAGAGCUUUACGAUCCGAAGACCUUCUUCACUCACGCGGCAUUGCUCCAUCAGGUUUGCACCCAUUGUGGAAGAUUCCCUACUGCUGCCUCCCGUAGGAGUCUGGGCCGUGUCUCAGUCCCAGUGUGGCCGAUCACCCUCUCAAGUCGGCUACGUAUCACUGCCUUGGUAAGCCAUUACCUUACCAACUAGCUAAUACGCCGCGAGGCUAUCCAUGAGUGGUAGCAAAGCCACCUUUAAUGAAUUCGUCAUGCGACCAAUCCACCUAUGGGUAUUAGCAUCCGUUUCCGAAUGUUGUCCCCCGCUCACGUGGGCAAGUUCCUCACGUGUUACUCGACCCGUUCGCCUACUAAUCAGUCACUGCAAGCAGUGACGUCAUCGUUCGACUUGCUAUGUAUUAGGCAGUCGCCGUCAC